UGAGUCGACCCCUAAGGCGAGGCCGAAAGGCGUAGUCGAUGGGAAACAGGUUAAUAUUCCUGUACUUGGUGUUACUGCGAAGGGGGGACGGAGAAGGCUAUGUUGGCCGGGCGACGGUUGUCCCGGUUUAAGCGUGUAGGCUGGUUUUCCAGGCAAAUCCGGAAAAUCAAGGCUGAGGCGUGAUGACGAGGCACUACGGUGCUGAAGCAACAAAUGCCCUGCUUCCAGGAAAAGCCUCUAAGCAUCAGGUAACAUCAAAUCGUACCCCAAACCGACACAGGUGGUCAGGUAGAGAAUACCAAGGCGCUUGAGAGAACUCGGGUGAAGGAACUAGGCAAAAUGGUGCCGUAACUUCGGGAGAAGGCACGCUGAUAUGUAGGUGAAGCGACUUGCUCGUGGAGCUGAAAUCAGUCGAAGAUACCAGCUGGCUGCAACUGUUUAUUAAAAACACAGCACUGUGCAAACACGAAAGUGGACGUAUACGGUGUGACGCCUGCCCGGUGCCGGAA
rnacentral:rRNA from 1 species